AGAGUUUGAUCCUGGCUCAGAACGUACGCUGGCGGCACGCCUAACACAUGCAAGUCGAACGAAGUAGCAAUACUUAGUGGCAGACGGGUGAGUAACAUGUAGGUAUCUGCCCUUUGGCCUGGAAUAACACGAGGAAACUUGUGCUAAUACCGGAUAAGUCUUUACGGAGAAAGCUUUAUGCACCAUUGGAUGAGCCUGCACUUGAUUAGUUUGUUGGUGGGGUAAUGGCCUACCAAGACUGUGAUCAAUAGCUGAUUUGAGAGGAUGAUCAGCCACAUUGGGACUGAGACACGGCCCAAACUCCUACGGGAGGCAGCAGUGGGGAAUCUUGCACAAUGGAGGAAACUCUGAUGCAGCGAUGCCGCGUGAGUGAAGAAGGCCCUUGGGUUGUAAAGCUCUUUCGUCGGGGAAGAAAAUGACUGUACCCGAAUAAGAAGGUCCGGCUAACUUCGUGCCAGCAGCCGCGGUAAUACGAAGGGACCUAGCGUAGUUCGGAAUUACUGGGCUUAAAGAGUUCGUAGGUGGUUGAAAAAGUUGGUGGUGAAAUCCCAGAGCUUAACUCUGGAACUGCCAUCAAAACUUUUCAGCUAGAGUAUGAUAGAGGAAAGCAGAAUUUCUAGUGUAGAGGUGAAAUUCGUAGAUAUUAGAAAGAAUACCAAUUGCGAAGGCAGCUUUCUGGAUCAUUACUGACACUGAGGAACGAAAGCAUGGGUAGCGAAGAGGAUUAGAUACCCUCGUAGUCCAUGCCGUAAACGAUGUGUGUUAGACGUUGGAAAUUUAUUUUCAGUGUCGCAGC
rnacentral:rRNA from 1 species